rnacentral:rRNA from 1 species
GGCGAAGCUGGCGGAGGCCUACACAUGCAGUCGACGCCGUAGCAUACGGAGUGGCAGACGGGUGAGGAACACGUGGGAACAUACCCUUUGGUUCGGAAUAACUCAGGGAAACUUGAGCUAAUACCGGAUAAGCCCUUUUGGGGAAAGAUUUAUCGCCGAAGGAUUGGCCCGCGUCCGAUUAGCUAGUUGGUGAGGUAAUGGCUCACCAAGGCGACGAUCGGUAGCUGGUCUGAGAGGAUGAUCAGCCACAUUGGGACUGAGACACGGCCCAAACUCCUACGGGAGGCAGCAGUGGGGAAUAUUGGACAAUGGGCGCAAGCCUGAUCCAGCCAUGCCGCGUGAGUGAUGACGGCCUUAGGGUUGUAAAGCUCUUUCACCCACGACGAUAAUGACGGUAGUGGGAGAAGAAGCCCCGGCUAACUUCGUGCCAGCAGCCGCGGUAAUACGAAGGGGGCUAGCGUUGUUCGGAUUUACUGGGCGUAAAGCGCACGUAGGCGGAUCUUUAAGUCACGGGUGAAAUGCCGGAGCUCAACUUCGGAACUGCCUUUGAUACUGGAGAUCUUGAGUUCGAGAGAGGUGAGUGGAACUGCGAGUGUAGAGGUGAAACUUCGU